AGUGAACGCUGGCGGUAGGCCUAACACAUGCAAGUCGAACGGCAGCACAGUAAGAGCUUGCUCUUACGGGUGGCGAGUGGCGGACGGGUGAGGAAUACAUCGGAAUCUACUUUUUCGGGGGGGAUAACGUAGGGAAACUUACGCUAAUACCGCAUACGACCUACGGGUGAAAGCAGGGGAUCUUCGGACCUUGCGCGAUUGAAUGAGCCGAUGCCGGAUUAGCUAGUUGGCGGGGUAAAGGCCCACCAAGGCAACGAUCCGUAGCUGGUCUGAGAGGAUGAUCAGCCACACUGGAACUGAGACACGGUCCAGACUCCUACGGGAGGCAGCAGUGGGGAAUAUUGGACAAUGGGCGCAAGCCUGAUCCAGCCAUACCGCGUGAGUGAAGAAGGCCUUCGGAUUGUAAAGCCCUUUUGUUGGGAAAGAAAAGCAGCAUGUUAAUACCCCGCUGUUCUGACGGUACCCAAAGAAUAAGCACCGGCUAACUUCGUG
rnacentral:rRNA from 1 species